rnacentral:tRNA from 1 species
GCACCGCUAGUCUAAUGGUUAGGAUAUCUGCCUUCCAAGCAGGUGGUCCGGGUUCGAUUCCCGGGCGGUGCA